rnacentral:rRNA from 1 species
GACGAACCGUGCGAACGUUGUUCGGAAUUACUGGGCGUAAAGGGCGCGUAGGCGGCCUUCUAAGUCGAACGUGAAAUCCCCGGGCUCAACCCGGGAACUGCGUCCGAUACUGGAAGGCUUGAAUCCGGGAGAGGGAUGCGGAAUUCCAGGUGCAGCGGUGAAAUGCGUAGAUAUCUGGAGGAACACCGGUGGCGAAGGCGGCAUCCUGGACCGGCAUUGACGCUGAGGCGCGAAAGCCAGGGGAGCAAACGGG